AUUGAACGCUGGCGGCAGGCCUAACACAUGCAAGUCGAGCGGAUGAAGGGAGCUUGCUCCUGGAUUCAGCGGCGGACGGGUGAGUAAUGCCUAGGAAUCUGCCUGGUAGUGGGGGAUAACGUCCGGAAACGGGCGCUAAUACCGCAUACGUCCUGAGGGAGAAAGUGGGGGAUCUUCGGACCUCACGCUAUCAGAUGAGCCUAGGUCGGAUUAGCUAGUUGGUGGGGUAAAGGCCUACCAAGGCGACGAUCCGUAACUGGUCUGAGAGGAUGAUCAGUCACACUGGAACUGAGACACGGUCCAGACGCCUACGGGAGGCAGCAGUGGGGAAUAUUGGACAAUGGGCGAAAGCCUGAUCCAGCCAUGCCGCGUGUGUGAAGAAGGUCUUCGGAUUGUAAAGCACUUUAAGUUGGGAGGAAGGGCAGUAAGUUAAUACCUUGCUGUUUCGACGUUACCAACAGAAUAAGCACCGGCUAACUUCGUG
rnacentral:rRNA from 1 species